rnacentral:tRNA from 1 species
GGGAAUGGUCGGGAUAGCUCAGUUGGUA